AUUGAACGCUGGCGGCAUGCCUUACACAUGCAAGUCGAACGGCAGCACGGGUGCUUGCACCUGGUGGCGAGUGGCGAACGGGUGAGUAAUACAUCGGAACGUACCUUAUCGUGGGGGAUAACGCAGCGAAAGUUGCGCUAAUACCGCAUACGCCCUGAGGGGGAAAGCGGGGGACCGUAAGGCCUCGCGCGAUUAGAGCGGCCGAUGUCUGAUUAGCUUGUUGGUGAGGUAAAAGCUCACCAAGGCGAUGAUCAGUAGCUGGUCUGAGAGGACGAUCAGCCACACUGGGACUGAGACACGGCCCAGACUCCUACGGGAGGCAGCAGUGGGGAAUUUUGGACAAUGGGGGCAACCCUGAUCCAGCAAUGCCGCGUGAGUGAAGAAGGCCUUCGGGUUGUAAAGCUCUUUUGUCAGGGAAGAAACAGCAGCUCUAACACAGUCUGCGAAUGACGGUACCUGAAGAAUAAGCACCGGCUAACUACGUGCCAGCCGCCGCCGCGG
rnacentral:rRNA from 1 species